AUGAACUGGAGGUGCCACUAUCCGAUGUCUUCCAGGACAGCCACACAAAUGGGCUGCUAUUUUUGGAAACUCGUCUGUGAGGACCCAGCAUGCGGAAUGGAAGCGAACUCUGGCAGACAGGGAAGUCCCUGCCCCAGGAUGACUCCCAGUCACAUGCAGAUGCCCGCAGCGCAGCCUCCUUCCCGCCUGCCAGGAGCUGAUGACCCCGCCAGUCACCCAGGCAGCAAUCUCUCCCCUCAGGCCAGACCUGUCAGCGACUCCUCAGAGCCUGUCAGGCCUCCGUGGUGGUUCUGAACUCAGGAUGCCGCUUGCUCACCGAGAUGUUAUCAUCUGACUUCUGACAGAGUAAUUCCUUAAUCACCUGUUUGAGUUUUUCCAAUUAACAUUAAGCCUCACGUGCUACUUCCUCGUGGUUUUGAGGUGUUGAGAGCUUAGACGUGGUUCACUCCUUCUCCAGGAAGUGAGGUGGUCCUCCAGACUCUGAGAGGGACUCCUCAGGGAAGGAAAAUACCCUCUGUGUUCCUUACCUGUAGCUGCUGUAGCAGUUAUCACAAGCUUGGUGACUAGAAGCAAAGCAGACAGAAACGUGCUCUCUCACAGUCCUGGAGGCCGGAAGUCCGAGCUCAGGGUGUCCUCUGAAAGUUCCAGAGGAGCGUCCUUCCUGGCCUCUUCCAGCUGCUGGUGGCCCUGACGUUGCUCGGCUGUGUCACUCCGACCUUUGCUCUGUCUUCACAGGACCUCCUCCUCCCACGUCUCAAAUCUCUCUCUGCUCGUCUCCUAUAAGGAUGCGUGUCAUUGGAUUUAGGGCCCACCUGGAUAAUCCGGGAGGAGCUCCUCUCAGGACCCUUGGCCUAUUUACAUCUGCGAAGAACUUUUUUCCCGAGUAAGGUAGCAACUACAACUUGAUCAGGACACGACAAUGUCCUUUGCAGGGGGCGCCGUUUAACCCACUGUACUCUGUGUGAGAUUUGUGGAAACGUCUUUCCAGGACAAACGUGGGAUGUGAACGAAGUCUGUGGUCUGCCUAGCUGUCCCUUUCUUGACUGGUUUGUCUCCUCUUAGCCCCCUGCUUCUGCCUUUUCUGCACAGCCUAGGAUGCUCCUGUUCACUGGGUUUUAAGGGAUUCAUAUGUGGUUCCUCCACAGAUAUUUGCAGUUUAAACUUAUAUAAUAGACAGGGUAAUGCUAAUGCCGGUGGGGAAAUGUUCUUUAAAAUUUUGGAUGUUGAAGAGAAAUAUAUUUCUGGAAUAGAAGAGGAAAGUUAGUGGCAAAGUUCCUUCGAGUGAGCGAACACU
rnacentral:lncRNA from 1 species